GUUUGAUCCUGGCUCAGAUUGAACGCUAGCGGGAUGCUUUACACAUGCAAGUCGAACGGCAGCGCGGAACUUCGGUUCUGGCGGCGAGUGGCGAACGGGUGAGUAAUAUAUCGGAACGUGCCUAGUAGCGGGGGAUAACUACGCGAAAGCGUGGCUAAUACCGCAUACGCCCUUCGGGGGAAAGGGGGGGAUCGCAAGACCUCUCACUAUUGGAGCGGCCGAUAUCAGAUUAGCUAGUUGGUGGGGUAAAGGCCUACCAAGGCAACGAUCUGUAGCUGGUUUGAGAGGACGACCAGCCACACUGGGACUGACACACGGCCCAGACUCCUACGGGAGGCAGCAGUGGGGAAUUUUGGACAAUGGGGGAAACCCUGAUCCAGCCAUCCCGCGUGUGCGAUGAAGGCCUUCGGGUUGUAAAGCACUUUUGGCAGGGAAGAAACGGCACCGGCUAAUACCGGGUGUCACUGACGGUACCUGCAGAAUAAGCACCGGCUAACUACGUGCCAGCAGCCGCGGUAAUACGUAGGGUGCAAGCGUUAAUCGGAAUUACUGGGCGUAAAGCGUGCGCAGGCGGUUUGGAAAGAAAGAUGUGAAAUCCCAGAGCUUACCUUUGGAACUGCAUUUUUAACUGCCAAGCUAGAGUAUGUCAGAGGGGGGUAGAUUUCCACGUGUAGUAGUGAACUGCGGACAGAUGGGGACGAAUACCGAUGGAGAACGCUGCCCGCUGGGAUAACACUGACGCUCAUGCACGAAUGCGUGCGAAGCAAACAUGAUUAGAUACCCUGAUAAUCCACGCCCGAAACGAUGUCACUAGCUGUUGGGCCCCUUCGGUCCUCAAUACACACCUAACGCGGGAAAUGACCCCCCUGGGGAAGUACUCUCGCCUGAUUAAUACUCAUAAGGAGUGGAUGUGUACCUCCCAGGCUGUGGGAUGAUUUGUUUUUUAAUUUGAUGGACGCGGGCAACGCUCCUAACCUUCAAUUGACUGGUAGUGCCUACACAAUAACAAGGGCUCCGGCCAGAAGAAAAACAGGAGCCCGUGUGUGUAUGCUCGACUCAGUCUGGGAUAUAGUAGAGAUUAGGCUGAUCUCCUCCCUACGCCGCGCUUCUAGAUGUGUAUAAAUGCUGCUAU
rnacentral:rRNA from 1 species